UAAUACGUAGGAGGCAAGCGUUAUCCGGAUUUACUGGGCGUAAAGAGGGUGCAGGCGGUUUUUCAAGUCGGAUGUAAAAUCUCCCGGCUCAACUGGGAGGGACCAUUCGAUACUGUUAGGCUAGAGGACAGCAGAGGAAGGCGGAAUUCCCGGUGUAGUGGUGAAAUGCGUAGAUACCGGGAGGAACACCAGUGGCGAAGGCGGCCUUCUGGGCUGUUUCUGACGCUGAGGCCCGAAAGCGUGGGGAGCGAACAGGAUUAGAUACCCUGGUAGUCCACGCUGUAAACGAUGGACACUAGGUAUAGGGAGUAUCGACCCUCUCUGUGCCGAAGCUAACGCGCUAAGUGUCCCGCCUGGGGACUACGGCCGCAAGGCUA
rnacentral:rRNA from 1 species